rnacentral:rRNA from 1 species
UCCUACGGGGGGCAGCAGUGAGGAAUAUUGGUCAAUGGGCGCGAGCCUGAACCAGCCAAGUCGCGUGAGGGAAGACGGUCCUAUGGAUUGUAAACCUCUUUUGUCGGGGAGCAAAAGACGCCACGCGUGGCGUUCCGAGAGUACCCGAAGAAAAAGCAUCGGCUAACUCCGUGCCAGCAGCCGCGGUAAUACGUAGGUGGCGAGCGUUGUCCGGAAUUACUGGGUGUAAAGGGAGUGUAGGCGGGAAAGCAAGUCAGAAGUGAAAACUAUGGGCUUAACCCCUAGACUGCUUUUGAAACUGUUUU